GCCGAAGUGGUGGAAUUGGCAGACGCGUCGGACUCAAAAUCCGAUGGGGGCAACUUCGUGUGGGUUCGAGUCCCACCUUCGGCA
rnacentral:tRNA from 1 species